rnacentral:rRNA from 1 species
UACGGGGGGAGCAAGCGUUGUUCGGAUUUACUGGGCGUAAAGGGCGCGUAGGCGGUCGUGACAAGUCACUUGUGAAAUCUCCGGGCUUAACCCGGAACGGUCAAGUGAUACUGUCGUGCUAGAGUGCGGAAGGGGCUACUGGAAUUCGUCGGUGUAGCGGUGAAAUGCGUAGAUAAUCGAGAGGAACACCUGCGGCGAAGGCGGGGUAGCUGG